CUUGUCCUCGAAUAGUGCUGGGAUUACAGGUGCGACCCACCACACCCGGCUGCAAUGUUUGUUUUAAUUACUUUUGGCAAGUAUUUCCUGAGUACCCCGAGCGUGCCAGGUGAAGAGAGACGGAUAAUAACAGCGCUAGCCAGCACGUAUUAAGCCUUGCAAAGCUGCACGGGCAUGAACUUGUGGCUUCAACACAACCUUAUGAGGCCCACCACAGCUGCCAAACAUGAGGUGAUGGGACAGCCCUCGUGGCCUCCACCCACCGCCCUGGUGGAGAAGUGAAACAUGAACCCACCAGUGCAAGACAGAGGAAGAGGCACCAGCGAAGGCAAGAAAACUGAAGCUGGACGCUGGCCUCCAGUCCUGUCUUUGCCAUUAGCAGCCCUGGGAUCUUAGUGCCUUCACCAGCCGAGCUUCAGUUUUUCCACCUGUAAAAUGGAGGGUUGAGGCCACAUCUUCCUUUUAGUCCUUCCUCUUCCCUUCCCUCCAGAGCAAGUGGUGUGGAAUUCUAAGGCAAAAGUCACCCUGAUUGAAUGGUGUAGAUUAGUCAAGAACCCAGCACUGAGGUCAGCCUCUGGAAGCAAUUUAAGAUGACCCAAGGAUUUGAGAUUCCAACCUCCUGCAUGCAAGCAGAAGUGCUUCCUCCUACAUAGGGCUGCCCUCCUUCCUGAGCAACUGGGCUGAUUUGUGGAAGAAACAGCUGUGCUUUCUGGUGAGCUCCAAUGCCAAACAUGUAGGCCUUGGAUCAGGCAGGAUGUUCCAUCAGCAGUCAUUGUUCACACCUGUGCUGUAUGGGCCAGGCAUCGAGCCAAUAGUAACACCUCCUUUCACCCCACAACAACCCUGUACCAAGCACACACCCAUUUUAUACCUGAGGAAGCUGAGGCUUGGAGAGGCACCGCGCCCAGGGUCAUGUAACCACAGGUGACAAAAUGAAGAUGCAAAUGCAACCUGAGUGAUUCCUUUUGAUGGAGCCACACCAUUUAAAUCAAUGCUGGGUGAUUGGAUUAUAUGUAAUUUUUUUAAAU
rnacentral:lncRNA from 1 species